CCAGCCCCGCGCGCGGGGCGGACUCGGCCGAGCCUUGAGACUUACCUGAAGCACGUGGUGAGCUCGCCUGAAGGCUUCAGACAUGGGUAUCUGGUCGUGGCGAUUUUAUUCUCCGAGCAGAUUUCUCUGUGAAAGAGUUGGAGGAACUUCGUUGAUUCUCCGCGGGAGAACAGAGGGCUGCGCGCGCUGGCCAUCUGCGUCCUGCGCGCGCGGCGCAGACGCUGGUGCCCCAGCGCGGACGCGAAGGGACCUCCGGGGUCAGGGGCGGGCCAGGCGAGGGUCCAGCGGAGCAAAGCCAGCCCCAAGAGAAGAAAAAAAAAAAAAAAUAAGGGUGAAGAAGCGGGGCCCUAGAGGGUGGCAAGAAUGCGGGGCGCGGGUGUCACGGAGCCCGGACCCACAGAAGGGAGAGCCCGGGGUCGAGCAACUAAUGAGCUCUCGCCGGCUCCUCGUGGGGUUUUUAAAUCCUCUUGCCUCCGAGCUGCUUUAAUGCUGUUUCAAAACCAAGCACACACGUGAGAGCUGGAAACUCCUGGAAGAUCAGGUGAGACUCUGAAGGGGGCCGUUAAUCACCGGCCCUGCCCCCCAGCUAGUUAAGCGGGCUUAUUUACCCGUAUCGCGAAACCCGGGCUGGGGGCGGUAAAUCAGCUCGUCGGGGGUGACCCAGCUGUAACCCGUGUGUAUGUCUACACAUUAGGCGUUUCUGUGCCUGUUAAAAGAGAAACUCAUGACACAAACGUGCCCCGCUGAGCAAGUGGUCCUGGCCCAGAAAUAAGUUGCUGGAGCACGAGGUUGUAAUACUAACUUCUAACAAAGGCAUUCUGCAGCUCGGCAGGAUGAGGAGGUGAAAAGGUAGCUUGUUCACAAGUUACCAGUGUGCUAAUUGGUUGGGUAAGCUGGUGUUUUGAGAAUGAUCAUGAAUAUCACGCACCUCUUGACAUUGUAAACAGCAAUGGUAUCAUCAUCCCUCUGUAGAAUGCUUUUGUAUUUUCCAAAGGUUUUUCACGUUUAUCAUUUUAUUUUAAUACAAUGCCCUUUGAAAUGAGGAGCCCAACUUCUUCAUUCAGCAAGGUAGUUUUUUCCCCCAAAACUUAUACACAUGGCAGAGGGUAAAAAGUCUUGAUAUUAAUAUAACGGUGCCACGCAAAAGUCAAUUUUCACGUGGUCAUUCAGGAGACACUUCAGAAGCUUGUAAAAUCUGCCGGUGACCAUCAUGAGGUCCGCAGAAAGCCCUGGAUUCAAACCCAGGCUCUGUGGCUUCCUAGGUCUGUGACCUCGGGCAAGUCAUAUAAACUUCUGAAUCUCAGUUUUCUCAUCUGUAAAAUGGGGGAAACCUCCCUAUAAAUGUUUAAGAGUAAUAAGUCAAUGCAUGUAACACAGUUUCAUGGUGCCCAGCAUAUACUAGGUGCUCAGUGGACAAUAACUGUUGUCAUUUUUAACCUAAAAGAUUAUAGGGCACAGGAUUUUCAGCUUCAACUUUCCAGCUUGCUGCUUUCUAGAGAAGAGUUUAUUUCACAACAGUUCUUCGGGUUCCUAAAGAGAUACCUGUCUAAGCACUGGAAAAAUAAACUCAUCCUGGAGCUUGUAAAAAUUGUGUCC
rnacentral:lncRNA from 1 species